rnacentral:rRNA from 1 species
UGGGAAUUUUGGACAAUGGGCGAAAGCCUGAUCCAGCAAUGCCGCGUGUGUGAAGAAGGCCUUCGGGUUGUAAAGCACUUUUGUCCGGAAAGAAAUCCUUGGCUCUAAUACAGUCGGGGGAUGACGGUACCGGAAGAAUAAGCACCGGCUAACUACGUGCCAGCAGCCGCGGUAAUACGUAGGGUGCAAGCGUUAAUCGGAAUUACUGGGCGUAAAGCGUGCGCAGGCGGUUUGCUAAGACCGAUGUGAAAUCCCCGGGCUCAACCUGGGAACUGCAUUGGUGACUGGCAGGCUAGAGUAUGGCAGAGGGGGUAGAAUUCCACGUGUAGCAGUGAAAAUGCGUAGAGAUGUGGAGGAAUACCGAUGGCGAAGGCAGCCCCCUGGGCCAAUACUGACGCUCAUGCACGAAAGCGUGGGGAGCAAACAGGAUUAGAUACCCUGGUAGUCCACGCCCUAAAACGAUGUCAACUAGUUGUUGGGGAUUCAUUUCCUUAGUAACGUAGCUAACGCGUGAAGUUGACCGCCUGGGGAGUACGUCGCAAGAUUAAAACUCAAAGGAAUUG